rnacentral:rRNA from 1 species
GCCCACAUGAAGUCGGAGUUGCUAGUAAUCCCGAAUCAGCAUGUCGGGGUGAAUGCGUUCCCGGGCCUUGUACACACCGCCCGUCACGCCAUGGGAGCUGGUAAUACCCAAAGUCGGUGCACCAACCGCAAGGAGGAAGCCGCCUAAGGUAGGAUCAGUGACUGGGGUGAAGUCGUAACAAGGUACC